rnacentral:rRNA from 1 species
UGGGGAAUUUUGGACAAUGGGCGCAAGCCUGAUCCAGCCAUGUCGCGUGCGGGAAGAAGGCCUUCGGGUUGUAAACCGCUUUUGCCAGGGAAGAAAUCUUCUGAGUUAAUACCUCGGGAGGAUGACGGUACCUGAAGAAUAAGCACCGGCUAACUACGUGCCAGCAGCCGCGGUAAUACGUAGGGUGCAAGCGUUAAUCGGAAUUACUGGGCGUAAAGCGUGCGCAGGCGGUUUUGUAAGACAGAGGUGAAAUCCCCGGGCUCAACCUGGGAACUGCCUUUGUGACUGCAAGGCUUGAGUGCGGCAGAGGGGGAUGGAAUUCCGCGUGUAGCAGUGAAAUGCGUAGAUAUGCGGAGGAACACCGAUGGUGAAGGCAAUCCCCUGGGCCUGCACUGACGCUCAUGCACGAAAGCGUGGGGAGCAAACAGGAUUAGAUACCCUGGUAGUCCACGCCCUAAACGAUGUCAACUGGUUGUUGGGAAGGUUCCUUCUCAGUAGCGUAGCUAACGCGUGAANUUGACCGCCUGGGGAGUACGGCCGCAAGGUUGAAA